AAAUGAUGGAAAGGACAUAAUUUUG
rnacentral:piRNA from 1 species